UGCUCCUGCCCUUGUGCAGCCUCAGCCAGCGCUGCCCAGGCCCAGAGGAAGAUGAAGGUCGCUGUGCUCAGCGUGGCCCUGCUCUUCACCAUCCUGCUGAGCCCCCCGGCAGAUGCCAAGGCACUCUUGGCAGGAACCCAAAAUGAUCUGCAGGAGAUUGAUUUAGUGGACGUUGGGAUCCUGGAGACGGCUCAG